rnacentral:rRNA from 1 species
UACGUAGGUGGCUAGCGUUGUCCGGAUUUACUGGGCGUAAAGAGCGCGCAGGCGGUCGUUCAAGUCGAGUGUGAAAGCCCCCGGCUCAACUGGGGAGGGUCACUCGAUACUGAUCGACUCGAAGGCAGGAGAGGGAAGCGGAAUUCCCGGUGUAGUGGUGAAAUGCGUAGAUAUCGGAAGGAACACCGGUGGCGAAAGCGGCGCGCUGGACCUCUUCGUGACGCUGACGGCGCGAAAGCCAGGGGAGCAAGCGGG